rnacentral:lncRNA from 1 species
AAUUUCCCUUUGCCUUGCAUUUAAAUACAGCAGUUGCAGUGCUUUCUUGCCAGACUUGCUACAACUGAAGCUCAGUCUAUUUUAAUGCUAUACAUCCGAUCCUUAUACGGAAAAUAUAGAUCAAGGUAAGCUAGGGUAAGAAUUUCAUAUGUCAUAAUAAAUUCUAAUAAUUUACAUAUUGUAGGUAGAUAUAUGUAUAGGUUAUUUUGAGGCAACGAGGGGAUAUGUGUUUUACAGCGCCGAGGUGAAUAAACACAUAUCCCCGAGGUGCCUACUUAUAUUGUUUGUUUGUUAAACUUUAUUGAGUACAAAUUAAUUCAACAAUUAUUUAUCUAACAUACAAUUAAGAGCUGUACUCAAACGGACAAGGCACAAACUGGACGUAAAGUCCAUUGCAUGGUGCCCCUCCUUUUCCUAACAUAAACCUUUUAAAAAUAUUAUAUAUUUUUUUAUAUUUUUCACAUUGCGAGGUUGCGUUAAUGAGUCAGAAAUAGAAAUAAUUAUCAAUGCCAUAUUGCCUUCGUUAUGUUGUUUUUUUCUCUUUUUUUUGUGCUUCAAAGACAUUACAGGUGAAUAUUAGAGGGGAUUAUUUAACGGAAAUUGAUUAAAGGGGAAUAUUGAAUAUAUUCCCCGAUAAUAACGUACAAAGGAAACCGAGCAAUGUGAAAAAUAAAGUAUUAAAAAUCAUUAUAUUUCAUAAUUUGUUUAUGUUCAUUGGAAACAGCAAUUCCUUCGUAAAAUCAGGUUAAAAAGUCGGGUCUGGGGGGGGGGGGCGGUGUGAGAAAGAUACAACUGUAUAGUUAUAGUGGAGCUUCAUUGUGGAAUAGCUUGCCUGAAUCUCUGAGACUCUCAUCACUUUCAUCUUUUAAAAGACCUUUAAAAACUAAUAAUGCUAUUUAACUCUUGUCCGACUCUCACCCGGCAACCUGGUAGAACAGUAGUUUCAUAUUUUUUAUAUUUUUAAAUAUAUACUAUGUAAAUCCAAAUAUCUUUAAGUUUAGAAUAAUUUAGACUAUAUUUAUUAUGUAAUAUUACUGAAGGUUUACCGUGCUUUAAAUAAAGGCGAUGUAUGUAUGUAUAUGUAUGUAUGUGUGUAUGUAUGUGUGUAUGUAUGUAUGUAUGUGUAUGUGUGUGUGUAUGUGUGUGUGUGUGUGUGUGUGUGUGUGUGUGUGUGUGUGUGUGUGUGUGUGUGUGUGUAUGUGUGUGUGUAUGUGUGUGUGUAUGUAUGUGUGUGUGUAUGUGUGUGUGU